GUCACACGCGUUCCCAUACCGAACACGACCGUUAAGCCUUCCAGCGCCGAUGGUACUUGGGGUUUUACCCCUGGGAGAGUAGGACGUUGCCGGGC
rnacentral:rRNA from 1 species